UGGGGAAUAUUGGACAAUGGGGGCAACCCUGAUCCAGCAAUGCCGCGUGUGUGAAGAAGGUCUUCGGAUUGUAAAGCACUUUCGACGGGGACGAUGAUGACGGUACCCGUAGAAGAAGCCCCGGCUAACUUCGUGCCAGCAGCCGCGGUAAUACGAAGGGGGCUAGCGUUGCUCGGAAUGACUGGGCGUAAAGGGCGUGUAGGCGGUUUACACAGUCAGAUGUGAAAUCCCCGGGCUUAACCUGGGAGCUGCAUUUGAUACGUGUAGACUAGAGUGUGAGAGGAGGGUUGUGGAAUUCCCAGUGUAGAGGUGAAAUUCGUAGAUAUUGGGAAGAACACCGGUGGCGAAGGCGGCAACCUGGCUCAUGACUGACGCUGAGGCGCGAAAGCGUGGGGAGCAAACAGGAUUAGAUACCCUGGUAGUCCACGCUGUAAACGAUGUGUGCUAGAUGUUGGGUAACUUUGUUAUUCAGUGUCGCAGUUAACGCGUUAAGCACACCGC
rnacentral:rRNA from 1 species